rnacentral:rRNA from 1 species
UACGUAGGCAGCGAGCGUUGUUCGGAGUUACUGGGCGUAAAGAGUGCGUAGGCGGUUUUCUAAGUUUGGUGUGAAAUCUCCCGGCUCAACUGGGAGGGUGCGCCGAAGACUGGAAGGCUAGAGUAUGGGAGAGGUAAGCGGAAUUCCUGGUGUAGCGGUGAAAUGCGUAGAUAUCAGGAAGAACACCGGUGGCGAAGGCGCUCUGCUAGGCCGCAACUGACACUGAGGGACGAAAGCUAGGGGAGCGAAUGGG